rnacentral:piRNA from 1 species
UGAAAACAUUUUCCACUAAAU